rnacentral:lncRNA from 1 species
UGUGAGCGAGCUUAUGGGAAUGAUUUGAACCAAGCAACUGGAAGCAACCAAUUCCAAUCAACAAAGAAUACAAUAAUUAGGAAAAAACUAUACAACUUUUUAUUUUAAUUGUAUUUGGAUAUUCUUCAUUAUUUUAGUUUGCUUUAGUUUUAAGAAUAUUAUUUUCAUUUCAUUUUUCUUAAUUUAAUAAAUUUAAUGAAUAUUUAAAAUUAAUAAAAUAGAAAAUUCAAAAAUAUAGGGCUAUACGGACUCGAACCGUAGACCUUCUCGGUAAAAUAGAUCGAACUGAUUAUUAUCAAAAUGAUUCGGCCUAUUUCAAAGACCCAACAUGCAUUUUUUUGCAUUGGGCUCUUUCAUUAACUGAUAGAAAUAUCAGUUAGUUUACCGUAUAU